rnacentral:rRNA from 1 species
UACAGAGGUCUCAACCGUUGUUCGGAUUCAUUGGGCGUAAAGGGUGCGUAGGCGGCGGGGUAAGUCAGGUGUGAAAUCUCGGGGCUCAACCCCGAAACUGCACUUGAUACUGCUUCGCUUGAGUACUGGAGAGGAGACUGGAAUUUACGGUGUAGCAGUGAAAUGCGUAGAUAUCGUAAGGAAGACCAGUGGCGAGGGCGAGUCUCUGGACAGUUACUGACGCUGAGGCACGAAGGCCAGGGGAGCAAACGGG